CCCUCUCUCUGUCUCUCUCUCGAUCGAAGUCGCGAAGAUGUUGGGGUCGGAGGAUGGUCGAUUGAUUUUUUUCCUUCUCUUCCUCUCCUUCUCUCUCUCUAUCUCGAUUGAACUCGGAGGAGAUUGAAUUCGGAUAUUGCCCAUCUCGGCUUUUUGAUUCCGGAUGCUUUGCCUCCAAAAGAAAUUGAUCCUGCAAGAGAAGCACUGCAAAAUGGCCGAUCUUGUACUCUGCUUGGGUACCAGGCAGCCGAUGUUUUGCGGAGACGUCAGGAAGAAGAGAAAAGCUCUGUAAUGCUGGUUGCAACUAUUGGUGGAAUCUAUUGGUGGUAUAAGACAUCUUCACAUCCUGCUGCAAUUUUAGCUUUGAGAGGUUUGGGUUAGAGGAACGGUUGCAGCGAAGCCAGGAGAGUUCUCUGCCAUUGUCAAUGACCAUGGAGAUGUUUUGAGGAGGAGUGCUGACGGUGAGAGUGACGUUGUGGUGGAAAUGGAGUUUGUCGGUGGGUCGAUGAUCCGUUGGAGUUAUUUGUGUCUUUAAAGGCAAAACAAGUGUUUGAGAUGAAGAUGAAGAUGAAGAAGAAGAAGAGAAACAUUUAUGUGUUCUCAUGAGUAGAAUAAGAAGAAGAUGAAACAGAGGAUGUAAUCUUGAGAACGAAGUUUUUUGAUUAUUGUAAGUUUGAGAAAAUUUUCAA